GCCAGCCCGCGGCACGCGUCCCGGGCGUCGAGGGGCGCGGCGAGCGCGCAGUCACGUAGCCACUAGGCAGCCAGUCCGCUCCGCGCCGCCUCCGGACCGCGCGGACUCCUGAAGAGAUGGUUUUCAAAGUCUGGUGGCGGAAUUGAAGCCUUCAAAAGAAGGACUAAUCAGAAGCCCGAUAUGUAAAACAGUGGAGGCUGGAAUGCAUCGAGUGGCCUGGCAAGUGUGAAGCCCUUGGGGUCCGCAGGGGACAGUUUGAAAAUCUCUGGCCUGUAGGAUAAAGGUUCCCUCAUGAGACCACAGUUAAGAUGUUGGCCAGGGCUGCAGUCACCAUGGUGGCCAGAGGAUUCCCUGCUGAGAUGGCUUAGUCACCUGACUGGCCUGUCAGUGGAUUCUCUGGGCUCUGGUCCAAGUCUUUAACCCACAUGCAACUGGAUGGCAAGAAGUAGUUUGCUCGGAAGUCUGAUUGAGUACAUCUUCCUCACCUCCUAAGAGCUUGGGUGAAGUUUCUCUGCCUAAGAGCCUACUGCAUCCUGGAGAAUAGAGCUGCCCCCUCAAGCCCCUGGGUCCUGACUUCCCAGCCUGACCGCUGUUCAGCCAAGCUCUUGUGAUGCAGCACAGAGGGUGACAUGAUUCUCAGGAGCCAGAGCCUGGAAAGCUGCCAGGCAAGGCCUCCUUUCACUGGCUCUUCCCCUCCCGUGGAUAUGAGGGGCUUCUCCGAGCUCGUAGGUAGACACAGUGGGAUCCUUGUGAUGAUCAUCUCGAACAAAGGAGCAACAAGUCCGGAGCAGAGUUGCUGGGAUGAGAUCAAAGCAUGACAUUGCUUGUACCUGUUGAUCAAAAUCAUGGGGUCAGCACAGCAUCUGCUCAGUCCUCUCGAGGGCCGGUUCGCUUACCAGAAGAGGUACACCUGAAAAGCUUCAUUGAAUUACUGAGCAUGAGCCCGCCCUUUCUGCUCGCGAGCCUGUCAACACUUCAGCCGGCGGAAAGUUCCUGGGAACUGUCUUGGGCGUUUGGCAGGCGUGCCCAGGGCCAACUGUGUAACCCUCUGGGCUGUUGGGAUUGGAAUUACUCUUUUAGGAGUGCAGGGCUGGAACAAAGAGGCCCUGUUGGUUAUUUCCAGAUUCUGGAAGAACUCUGCCUUUAAUGAUGGUGUAGAGUUAAUGUGAUCUAAACUUGCCAUACUCACAGGUUUGUUUUGGUUUUUUUUUUAAUUUUACUUUUUUCAAGCUGAGCUUAAGAGGCAUACGCUUGAAUCGAUUAUGUACUCACAAAAGGGGUCUGUCUACUCCACAGAGGAGUUUAGAUGCUGUUCCCAGCCCGGCUGUGGCAUAAACCUGCCCCGGUAAAGCAGAAAGGCACAGGGUAUGGAUUAUAAAGAAUCAUCAUUACCCUCAAUGAUGAACAACAUUUAAACAACCUUUAUUCAUUUGAGGUGUCUAUUAAACGAUCUUGAAAAGAAGAGUGUGCUGUAAUAAAAAAAUCAGAUUAAAUCUAAAGGAAAUAAUUCUUAAAGAGGUGGAGGAAAAAAUGUUGGCAAGGCCUGAACUUCUGGCAAUGGCUAAGCAAACGUUAGGAUAAAAGAUUAAUAGGUUCUAAUACUUUAUUCAAACAAAGCACUGUUUUAAAAAAUAUAUCCGAUGUCUGCAAAAAUAUAAACUUUGGUCAUCUGAUAUUUUGAGUAAAUUAAUAUAUGUAGUGUUCUAUAAUACUAAUUAGUUUAUACAGUGCCCAUUCAAGGUAAGCAGCGAUUAAUGAUUUAGAGUGAUAUGAACUGAUGUAGAGGGUCAAGUCUGUUUUGGUACAUUUAAGUCUAUUCUGUUGUAUUUGUGUGCAUCAUGCAAGACCCUGGGGUGGGGAUGGAAGGGAUACAAAAAUGGGAAGCUAUUGUUGCUGCCAC